rnacentral:rRNA from 1 species
UGGGGAAUAUUGCACAAUGGGCGGAAGCCUGAUGCAGCAACGCCGCGUGAGGGAUGACGGCCUUCGGGUUGUAAACCUCUUUCAGCACCGACGAAGCGGGAGUGACGGUAGGUGCAGAAGAAGCGCCGGCCAACUACGUGCCAGCAGCCGCGGUAACACGUAGGGCGCGAGCGUUGUCCGGAAUUAUUGGGCGUAAAGGGCUCGUAGGCGGUUUGUUGCGUCGAGAGUGAAAUCCCAUGGCUUAACUGUGGGUUUGCUUUCGAUACGGGCAGGCUAGAGGUAGGCAGGGGAGAAUGGAAUCUCUGGUGUAGCGGUGGAAUGCGCAGAUAUCAGAGGGAACACCGGUGGCGAAGGCGGUUCUCUGGGCCUUACCUGACGCUGAGGAGCGAAAGCGUGGGGAGCGAACAG